UAUUAAGUGGCUGAAUUUUAAGCACUAGACUUUUAAUCUAGAAAAUGAUUUAAUACAAAUCCUUAAUAU
rnacentral:tRNA from 1 species